rnacentral:pre_miRNA from 1 species
AUUCUACUCCCUUCGUUGCACAAUACAUGCCUUCUAUUUGUCAAAAUAUAUAUGUAUCUAGACAUGUUUUAGUAUAUAGGCACAUCCAUUUUUGGACAAAUGGAAGUCAAGUAUUUUGGAAUGGAGGGAGUACACA